AUGCAAUGCAGGCGAGGGGAAUGGUCGAUUCAUGAACGAAGUGACUUGCCAUGUGAAUAUAUGCAUUUUUUUCGAAAAAACUACUUUCCUGAAGUAAGAAUUGGCUGGGAAAUAAAGAGGAGCAUGCUGAUUGAUUUACUGAAUGUUAUAGAUCAAUGGUGCUUUCUUUCUUCCUGGAGAAGAAGUGAUGAAACUGGCUAUAGAUGCUUGGUUCUUUCUUCUUCUUUCCAGGAAAUCGACCAAGUAUGCUGGCUGGGGCUUUGCUGUACUACACGUGAUUCUAAAGGCUCUGUUAGUUGA
rnacentral:rRNA from 1 species